UCCUGCGGGUCUGAGCCCCACCUUCCUCCCCUGAGCACUGGUGAGUGAGAGCAAUCUGUGAUUUCCGGCUCGCACCUUCCUUGAUGCGUGGCUGAUGGAGGCCCAGGUGCACUCGCUACUAGGUCCUGGUCCCGAGUCCGGAGGCACUGCCCUGGAGAAUGGCGAUCGUUAUAGUUCUCUACGUGCGAGACUGCAGCGCCCUCUGGGCGAGGGUACCCGGGGUUCCUCCAGGCUUUGGUAUGGAUGGACCCUUUAUGUUCUCUCUGUGGUUUGAGUUUCCUCAUCCUUCCCAUCAGAAAACAUCUGGAUGAAGCUUUUUGUUGCUACCUGGUUGGGAAGACAUCUCUGGUCGCCUCUCAGCCUGUUCUCCAUCCCUUUCUCAGACAGUUCCCUACACUGGGCCAGUGAGGUGCCUUAGCCAGAAGAGUGCUCUCUUGUACAAGCUUGAUAAACCACACUUGGAUCCCUGGAACCUACCUACAUUCAGAAGGGGGAGAAUGGACUUACAGAGCCGUCCUCUGACCACACAUCCUCCCCUCACACAGUAACAAUAGAUACUUUUUUUUUAAUCCCCUAAAUUUCAGACGUGUUCAUAGCUACAGCAAGUAAAGAUGACCUCUUCCAG